rnacentral:rRNA from 1 species
UACAGGGGGUGCAAACGUUGCUCGGAAUUAUUGGGCGUAAAGCGCGCGUAGGCGGCUACUUAAGUCGGAUGUGAAAGCCCUUGGCUCAACUGAGGAAGUGCACCCGAAACUGAGUGGCUUGAGUACCAAAGAGGGUCGCGGAAUUCCCGGUGUAGAGGUGAAAUUCGUAGAUAUCGGGAGGAACACCGGUGGCGAAGGCGGCGACCUGGGUGGAUACUGACGCUGAGGCGCGAAAGCGUGGGGAGCGAAACAGG